UGGUCGGGAUAGCUCACUG
rnacentral:tRNA from 1 species